GACGAACGCUGGCGGCGUGCCUAAUACAUGCAAGUAGAACGCUGAAGGAGGAGCUUGCUUCUCUGGAUGAGUUGCGAACGGGUGAGUAACGCGUAGGUAACCUGCCUGGUAGCGGGGGAUAACUAUUAGAAACGAUAGCUAAUACCGCAUAAGAGUAGAUGUUGCAUGACAUUUGCUUAAAAGGUGCAAUUGCAUCACUACCAGAUGGACCUGCGUUGUAUUAGCUAGUUGGUGGGGUAACGGCUCACCAAGGCGACGAUACAUAGCCGACCUGAGAGGGUGAUCGGCCACACUGGGACUGAGACACGGCCCAGACUCCUACGGGAGGCAGCAGUAGGGAAUCUUCGGCAAUGGACGGAAGUCUGACCGAGCAACGCCGCGUGAGUGAAGAAGGUUUUCGGAUCGUAAAGCUCUGUUGUAAGAGAAGAACGAGUGUGAGAGUGGAAAGUUCACACUGUGACGGUAUCUUACCAGAAAGGGACGGCUAACUACGUG
rnacentral:rRNA from 1 species